rnacentral:lncRNA from 1 species
CAAGAGCAAGGUGAGAAGUUCUUGGCGGGAAGGAUGCCGGGGGUCUAUUUGGAAACAGCCUCUCUACCCAAGUGUAGGGGUAAGAUCUGCGUACACACUACCCUCCCCAGACCCCACUAAAUGAGAUUAUACUGAGUUGUUGUUGUUGCUUCUUCAUCUAGCUACAGUGCAUCAUCUGUCACAUAUAACCAUUUGCAACAAAAGCUUAUGCGCAUGGAAUCCCAACUAGAAGGCACCUUUAAUGCGCUGAAGGCUCGUGAUGUCAAAGGAAGGUUCGGUUCUUGAAGAAUUUGCUG